UGGGGAAUAUUGGACAAUGGGGGAAACCCUGAUCCAGCGACGCCGCGUGGGUGAAGAAGGCCUGCGGGUUGUAAAGCCCUUUCGGUGGGGAAGAAAAGCCUCGACCUAACACGUCGGGGUAUUGACGUAACCCACAAAAGAAGCACCGGCUAACUCUGUGCCAGCAGCCGCGGUAAUACAGAGGGUGCGAGCGUUAAUCGGAAUUACUGGGCGUAAAGCGCGCGUAGGCGGCUAUACAAGUCGAGUGUGA
rnacentral:rRNA from 1 species